CGCUGGGUCACUUCCGGAUAUGACGGAUAUUCCAGCAACGUGAACGCUAGGCGAGCAUUGUGCAAGCUUCGUGGACGGGCUGUCAUGUUCACAGUGUGACGCAGACGCUCGCUCAUCGUCAGCAUCCAGGACGCUCGCAGGACGCUCGUGCUAGCAUUGUACUGUGAUAGAGGGUCAGAUGGAAAGUCAGAUGAAGGGUGAGAAGAAGGGCCAGAUGGAGGGCCAGAUGGAGGGCCAGAUGGAGGGCCAGAUGGAGGGCUAGAUGGAGGGUCAGAUGGAGGGCCAUGCAGAUGGAAAGUCAGAUGAAGGGUCAGAUGGAGAGUCAGAUGGAGGGUCUGACAGUUGGUCACAUGCAUGAAGCAUCAACGACAGAUUCAAUUUAGAGUGUCGGCUGUAAGGUCAGGUAAACAGAGUUGGGUGCUCUUGUCGUUGUGAAGAUAAAGACCGCAGCGUCGGCUGACGAUUACAACUCGUUUAGCUAAACUCCUGCUGGAAUCGAAACGCACACUUGCUAGAAGGUAACCCUUUCACAAUUUACUUAAGUUAAUCGCGUGCAAGCAGACAGAAUUUGUCGUUUGUCUAUUUGAGCGUGUCGGGACAUAGAUAUAUUGUUAUUGUUGCACAUUUAUUGUGUUUAGCUAUAGUUGUUUGCAUAACUAAGCAGCCACGCCAAAAACAUUCUAAGUGCGAUCUGCAUUUUCGUGAUCAUGUUAACAUCGUCAAACUUCUUGCUAAACUACGCGUUCAUUAUCGCUCCACCUCAAUUCUCUUUGUUCAACAUUGUCGUGUCACUCAUACACCAACUUCCGCUGCUGUUAUCAGCCGCACGUGUUUCUGCAUUGAGGUCGUGUAGAGCAUCCUUUCGACUCGUUGCAACACUGUGAACAAGAAGGAAGACAACGGCACAAGCAGCAGCACAGAUCACCAUCAGGCAGACAAGGGUACGAAUUUCGACCGUCAGCACGAGUCUCCUCUAAUUACAAGUAGUCGAUGUCGGUGCCGUUGAACGACUCAGAUUCUUGUUGUUCAAAAGACUUCUUUGUUUGCGCGAUCGAAACGCCAGACACGGUACCCAACGACGACGAGAGCCAAAACGAAACAGACGACGACCUUCAUGUUUCUCCAACUCGAGCGCUUGCAAAAAUGUCUAAAACGAGUUGGCAACGUACGUAUACUAGUGAGGAAAGGCGGGUCUAAGCAUAGGCGCGAGAGAUAUGGUGUGUUAUCAUGUUAAAAUUACGUUGUUAGUGUCUCUAGAUAUACACUCAAUGAGGUCGGACGCACACUCAAUGAAGACAUGAGGAAGUCGCUCGUACACUCAAUGUGGUCGGUUGCACACUCAAUGCGGUCGUUCGGUUCCUUCUUAGAGUUCAUGAGGUCGGCCUUACCACUCAAUGUGGUCGGUGUUACACUCAAUAAGGUAUAUGGUUAACGGAAAAGACAAGGCGUGGGAGUCUAAAUAAGAUAGGUGCACUGUACAGUCAACACUCCUUUACCAGUUUUACGGAUGUGCUAAUCUAACAACUAUUCAGAUUCGAUCAUUUACAGGAGGUCAUCAUUGGGUGACUUCAAACCUGCUUUGGCAAACAAUAACGACUAUACGACAACAAUGCUUGCCUACACUUGUCUCCUUGUAUGGAAACACAGCUGGUGCAAUUCUAUCAAUUGCCUCACAAAGACAUGUAACAUUCGCAUGGUAGAACAAAUGUCAGUGCAACAGCAGAUGUAAUUUUGGAUUUCUUUGCACUGCACGUGUUUGUUGUCAAUGACACAUGGCAAGGUGGUAGUGUGUUACGUCUGUGAAACUUGCAAUCAUGACGGAUGUGUCACAUUAUCGGGUAGUGUACUGUAAGCCUUGGAUUUGCGCUGAACGUAGAUAAAUUUCUUCCUA